rnacentral:rRNA from 1 species
UGUUGGGAUACUACCCUUGUUUGAAGGAUGCUCUAACCUCGACCUGUAAGCCAGGCCAGGGACAGUGUCAGGUGGGCAGUUUGACUGGGGCGGUCGCCUCCUAAAGUGUAACGGAGGCGCUCAAAGGGUCCCUCAGAAUGGUUGGAAAUCAUUCGCAGAGUGUAAAGGUAUAAGGGAGCUUGACUGCGAGAGAGACAACUCGAGCAGG